UUAAGAACAGCCAAGGGUGGGUAGUAGCGAAGUAGUUGUAGUUCGCUACUGUAGCGAACUACAAUUUUCAAGUAGCCAGUAGUUUUUGACUACUUUUUUAAAACAGUAGCUGCAGUUAUAGCGAACUACAUUUUGCCUAAAAGUAGCCAAGUAGUUGACUACUUUUCAAACAGCAAAUCGCUAUUCGCUACUCAGUUAAAAAUUGUUAACAACUUGAUAUAGAAUAGCAUGCAUGGUAUUGAGACACGGUUAAAAUCGAUACUCAAUAGUCAUUUUGCACUCCUGAACACUGUAGUGAUUACAAAAAUGUUGCUUUGUGUUUACUGUUGCUACUCGUAAGUCGAUUUGUUAUAGGUUACAUUA